AAUAUUUACAAGUAUAUAUUAUAUAAAGAAAUUUACACAAAUUAUUUACAUAUUAACACGAUUUUCAUAAAGUCAAUGCCCCCCAUGUCAAAGUGCCUCCAUUUGCUGCCACAAAAAUAAGGAAAUGUGACCUUCCUGUCACUUGGUCUCUGAUGAUUGUAUCAGGCUCCUAUGAUCCAGCAAGCUUUGGGCAUUUGUCCUUUAGAAACCAUGCUUCUUUAUACAAAUAACUGUUAUUCCUUCAGAGCAGACACAUAUUUGUCCUUAGUGAAUUCAACUUUUGGGCUUAGCCUAUGAUCUUGAAUGGUCAAAAUUUCCCAGUACAAAUGAAGUACAAUGAAAAGAAUCUGUUUCCAAGUCUACAAGAGCAGCAUUGUUUCUGAAGUCUAGGGUGUCAGAGAGCAGAAGAUGGCUGUAAUUUACAUUCCACUCCCAUUACAACUCACUUCUCAGAGCCCAUUUUAAUGUCUUCAAUGACCAAAUACCUAAUACUCAAUCAAAUCAUGGAAUGGUGACUUGUUGGUGGCAUUUUUGGCCUAUUCUUGUCCCCUUGUAUCUGCUGCAAUUUUUAUGGCUGCCCUCUUUAUGUUCUUUUAUUUUACUGUACUGUACAUAUUGUGUGUCCUGAUUUAACAAAAAUAGACCCAUGGUUGUAAUUUCUGAUCUAUGAGCAAUAAAAUGCAACAGUGGUUGCUUCCUUAUCUCUAAACCCCAGAGCAUCCAAGUGCCAGGACAAUAUGUGGUCACUAAAUUACUAUGAAACACAAGCCACAAAUCCAAAAUAAACUGUCUGCCAUGAAGAGAAAUCUGAAAUUUCCAGGAAUUAUUUUCUCUAAUGAUUUUCUCUCUUAUUCAUAAAUACUAUAGUACACGUUUUAAUACUAGUCUUAUUUAAAUGGAGAUACUUUUAUGCCUUUGCUUUAAUUAUCCUAUCCAUCAAAACUUAUAGGUGCAGCAGAGCACCUAUCUCAGGUAAAGUUGUUACUGACAGUCUGAAAAGAAGAACAUUUCUGGCAUGGAUCUUGUCCUUGAGAAAAGAAAUGCCUAUCAAGGGAUGGGAAUGUGUGGAGAUAUACAGAUUUUAAAUAGACAAUGAGAUUUUCAGAAAUCAGCAUGGGUGUAGAGAGGUGAGAAUGAGAGCAAUUCCUUCAGACUGGAAGAUGGAUUAUAAAGCAAGGGACACCUCAAAUUACCUUGAAAGUUGGGUUGGUCUGGGGCAUGUGAGCACUGGGGAGGUACUCUGGCAAUACAGUUAGAAUAAGAAUGGGAAAAUAUAGGGGGGGAGGAAUUUAUAUAAGAUAGGAUAAUUAGUUACUUUCUUUCAGACCAGAAAAAAAGAAAGAAAGAAAGAAAGAAAGAAAG
rnacentral:lncRNA from 1 species